rnacentral:rRNA from 1 species
UACGUAGGGUGCGAGCGUUAAUCGGAAUUACUGGGCGUAAAGCGCGCGCAGGCGGUCCUUUAAGUCUGAUGUGAAAGCCCACGGCUCAACCGUGGAGGGUCAUUGGAAACUGGGGGACUUGAGUGCAGGAGAGAAGAGUGGAAUUCCACGUGUAGCGGUGAAAUGCGUAGAGAUGUGGAGGAACACCGAUGGCGAAGGCAGCCCCCUGGGUCAAGAUUGACGCUCAUGCACGAAAGCGUGGGGAGCAAACAGG